GAUGAGGAACAGUUACUUCUAAUUAAACUGUCCUGCUUUCUUUCUAAAGAGGUGGACUGUGAGACUGUGCAGAAGGAGGCCUUUCAGAAGGGAAGCAGUCACGCAGUGCCAGUCUCAGAUGAGGAAAGAGAGGCAAUGCGAGACACCGGCAUGCCAGAAGGACCCAGAGAGAUGAAGAAGCACUGGGACAAGCCAAUACUGACUCUUCCUGUACAAGUGAAGAUCAAACUAGAGACAAAGGCAAAGCAGAGUCAGGAGAAGGAACAAGAAAGGGUGAGGUUGCCCAAGCAAAUGAGAUUUUCAACAACAGCUCCAGCCCAUCACCGUGGCCCUUUGCGGCAGAGCUUGCCCAGCUGUACAGGAAUGUGAGCGCAGACCCCUCACCUCUGCCCACUUGUCCCACCUGCUGUCUCACUGACGAUGCCUCUUCACUGGACACCUGGAUUUCUCUGGACUCACCUCAGCCUAAUCACUUGUGGUGUGCCCGUUACCAGUGCCAACAGGGAUACUGUACCUCAGAAGAUGAUGCUUUUUAGAAUAAAUAAUAAAUCUAU